AUUGAACGCUGGCGGCAGGCCUAACACAUGCAAGUCGAGCGGAUGAAGGGAGCUUGCUCCUGGAUUCAGCGGCGGACGGGUGAGUAAUGCCUAGGAAUCUGCCUGGUAGUGGGGGAUAACGUCCGGAAACGGGCGCUAAUACCGCAUACGUCCUGAGGGAGAAAGUGGGGGAUCUUCGGACCUCACGCUAUCAGAUGAGCCUAGGUCGGAUUAGCUAGUUGGUGGGGUAAAGGCCUACCAAGGCGACGAUCCGUAACUGGUCUGAGAGGAUGAUCAGUCACACUGGAACUGAGACACGGUCCAGAAUACUACGGGAGGCAGCAGUGGGGAAUAUUGGACAAUGGGCGAAAGCCUGAUCCAGCAAUGCCGCGUGUGUGAAGAAGGUCUUCGGAUUGUAAAGCACUUUAAGUUGGGAGGAAGGGCAGUAAGUUAAUACCUUGCUGUUUUGACGUUACCAACAGAAUAAGCACCGGCUAACUUCGUG
rnacentral:rRNA from 1 species